UACGAAGGGGGCUAGCGUUGCUCGGAAUCACUGGGCGUAAAGCGCACGUUAGGCGGCUUUUUAAGUCAGAGGUGAAAUCCUGGAGCUCAACUCCAGAACUGCCUUUGAUACUGGAGUGCUUGAGUCCGGGAGAGGUGAGUGGAACUGCGAGUGUAGAGGUGAAAUUCGUAGAUAUUCGCAAGAACACCAGUGGCGAAGGCGGCUC
rnacentral:rRNA from 1 species